UGGGGAAUAUUGCACAAUGGGGGAAACCCUGAUGCAGCAACGCCGCGUGAGCGAUGAAGGCCUUCGGGUUGUAAAGCUCUGUCUUCAGGGACGAUAAUGACGGUACCUGAGGAGGAAGCCACGGCUAACUACGUGCCAGCAGCCGCGGUAAUACGUAGGUGGCAAGCGUUGUCCGGAAUUAUUGGGCGUAAAGGAUGCGUAGGUGGUCCUUUAAGUGGGAUGUGAAAUCCCUGGGCUUAACCCAGGAAUUGCAUUCCAAACUGGAGGACUAGAGUGCAGGAGAGGAAAGUGGAAUUCCCAGUGUAGCGGUGAAAUGCGUAGAGAUUGGGAGGAACACCAGUGGCGAAGGCGGCUUUCUGGACUGUAACUGACACUGAGGCAUGAAAGCGUGGGGAGCAAACAGG
rnacentral:rRNA from 1 species